UCGGAACGUGCCCAGUCGUGGGGGAUAACGCAGCGAAAGCUGUGCUAAUACCGCAUACGAUCUAAGGAUGAAAGCGGGGGACGUCGUAAGGGCCUCGCGCGAUUGGAGCGGCCGAUGGCAGAUUAGGUAGUUGGUGGGGUAAAGGCUCACCAAGCCGACGAUCUGUAGCUGGUCUGAGAGGACGACCAGCCACACUGGGACUGAGACACGGCCCAG
rnacentral:rRNA from 1 species